UUUCCGUAGGUGAACCUGCGGAAGGAUCAUUAUUAUAUAACCGAUGAGCAAGGACUGUCGCUGACCCGAAUGGUAGUGCACGAGCGAGUGGCCUAACACCCAUCAAUCUGACACCUGUGUGAACCACCACGGGUGUCCCGCUUUGGAUUAUACGGUGGCGGGCGUUCGGUUUCACACAGACUUUGUAUGCAUUGAAGAAUGUAUUUUUUGUUUUUACGAUAACGCAUUCAAUACAACUUUCAACAACGGAUCUGUUGACGAUCGCAUCGAUGCAGAACG
rnacentral:misc_RNA from 1 species